AUUAAUAAGCGGAGGAAAAGAAACUAACAAGGAUUCCCUCAGUAACGGCGAGUGAAGCGGGAAGAGCUCAAAUUUGAAAUCUCCGAUGCUUGCAUCGGCGAGUUGUAGUUGCGAGAAGCACUUUCUAGGCGGAUCGACGGUGCCUAAGUUGCUUGGAACGGCACGUCGCAGAGGGUGACAACCCCGUCUGUGGCGCCGCCGGCCGCCGACGAUGUGCUUUCGAAGAGUCGGGUUGUUUGGGAAUGCAGCCCAAAACGGGUGGUAAACUCCAUCUAAAGCUAAAUACUGGCGUGAGACCGAUAGCGAACAAGUACCGUGAGGGAAAGAUGAAAAGAACUUUGAAAAGAGAGUUAAAAAGUACGUGAAACCGUCGAAAGGGAAACGAAUGGACUCAGCAAUGCGCCCUCUGAGAUUCAGCCGGUGGGUGGCGGCGGCGCCGGGUUUGCGGAUCUGAAUGGACCGCGGCCUGGCGCCCGCCUCUCCCCGCCGUCGCACUUCUCUGGGGCGCGCGUCAACGUGGGUUGGGACUGGGUCUGAAAGGCGCCGGGAAGGUAGGUGUGGGCCUUCGGGUCCGUUCUGUUACAGCCCGGUUCUCUCAUGGCUCGGGCCCGACCGAGGAGCGACACGGGGCAUGCCUCCUGUGGCUAGGGUCCCGCCCUUCCGGCCGGCUGUCCAGUGCGGUGGACUGCUUGCAGUGCUCCGCGACGGCUGCCGGUCGUUGGGGUGGUGAUCUCGUACCAUGCCCCUAGGAUGUUGGCGGUCAUAUG
rnacentral:rRNA from 1 species